CCUACGGGGGGCUGCAGUGAGGAAUAUUGGUCAAUGGACGAGAGUCUGAACCAGCCAGGUAGCGUGAAGGAUGACUGCCCUAUGGGUUGUAAACUUCUUUUAUCUGGGAAUAAAACGUUCCACGUGUGGGAUUUUGUAUGUACCAUAUGAAUAAGGAUCGGCUAACUCCGUGCCAGCAGCCGCGGUAAUACGGAGGAUCCGAGCGUUAUCCGGAUUUAUUGGGUUUAAAGGGAGCGUAGGUGGAUUGUUAAGUCAGUUGUGAAAGUUUGCGGCUCAACCGUAAAAUUGCAGUUGAAACUGGCAGUCUUGAGUACAGUAGAGGUGGGCGGAAUUCGUGGGGUAGCGGUGAAAUGCUUAGAUAUCACGAAGAACUCCGAUUGCGAAGGCAGUUCACUGGACUGCAACUGACACUGAGGCUCGAAAGUGUGGGUAUCAAACAGGAUUAGAUACCCUUGUAGUC
rnacentral:rRNA from 1 species